rnacentral:rRNA from 1 species
UAGAGUUUGAUCCUGGCUCAGAUUGAACGCUGGCGGCAUGCUUUACACAUGCAAGUCGAGCGGCAGCGCGGGGCAACCUGGCGGCGAGCGGCGAACGGGUGAGUAAUACAUCGGAACGUGUCCUUUCGUGGGGGAUAACCAGUCGAAAGACUGGCUAAUACCGCAUGAGAUCUCACGAUGAAAGCGGGGGACCGCAAGGCCUCGCGCGAUUGGAGCGGCCGAUGUCGGAUUAGCUAGUUGGCGGGGUAAGAGCCCACCAAGGCGACGAUCCGUAGCUGGUUUGAGAGAACGACCAGCCACACUGGGACUGAGACACGGCCCAGACUCCUACGGGAGGCAGCAGUGGGGAAUUUUGGACAAUGGGCGCAAGCCUGAUCCAGCCAUGCCGCGUGUGUGAAGAAGGCCUUCGGGUUGUAAAGCACUUUCGGCCGGAACGAAAUCGCGCGGAUUAAUAACCCGCGUGGAUGACGGUACCGGAAGAAGAAGCACCGGCUAACUACGUGCCAGCAGCCCCGGUCAA